rnacentral:rRNA from 1 species
UACAGAGGGUGCGAGCGUUGUCCGGAAUCACUGGGCGUAAAGGGAGCGUAGGCGGGUUUCUAAGUCAGGUGUUUAAUCCCGGGGCCCAACCCCGGACAGGCACUUGAAACUGGGAAUCUUGAAUAGUGGAGAGGUCAGUGGAAUUGGGGGUGUAGCGGUGGAAUGCGUAGAGAUCCCCAAGAACACCAGUUGCGAAGGCGGCUGACUGGACACAUAUUGACGCUGAGGCUCGAAAGCAUGGGGAGCAAACAGG